AUGCCGCCGGAACGUAGAAGCCGAACGAGACCGGACCGGAGAACCGGAGUGAGGCUGGGCCGGAAGAGCCGAAUGAAGCCGGACCGGAGAGCCGGAGCAGGGCCGGGCGGGCCGCCCCGAAAGGCUGCUCCUUCAUCCCAGCGGAAACCGCCGGCCCGGCCGAGCACAGCGGCCGCUGCGAUCGCAGUCGCGGCGGAGGAAGAGAGACGGCUCCGGCAGCAGAACCGCCUGACGCUGGAGGAGGACAAGCCGGCCGUGGAGCGGUGCCUGGAGGAGCUGGUGUUCGGCGACGUCGAGGACGACGAGGACGCGCUGCUACGGCGUCUGCAGGGCCCGCGGGUUCAAGUACAGGAAGACUCCUGUGACUCGGAAGUGGAGAAUGAAGCAAAAGAUAAUUUUCUAUUUCAAAAGAAGCCAGUUUGGGUGGAUGAAGAGGAUGAAGAUGAUGAAAUGGUUGACAUGAAGAACAAUCGGUUUCGGAAAGAUAUGAUGAAAAAUGCCAGUGAAAGUAAACUUUCAAAAGACAAACUUCAAAAGAGACUUAAGGAAGAAUUCCAGCAUGCCAUGGGAGGAGUACCUGCCUGGGCAGAGACUAAGAAGCGGAAAACAUCUUCAGAUGAUGAAAGUGAAGAGGAUGAAGAUGAUUUGUUGCAAAGGACUGGGAAUUUCAUAUCCACAUCAACCUCUCUUCCUAAAGGAAUCUUAAAGAUUAAGAAUUGUCAACAUGCUAACGCAGAACGUCCUACUACAGCCAGGAUUUCGUCUGUGCAAUUCCAUCCUCGUGCGCAGGUUGUGAUGGUUGCUGCUCUAGAUAAUGCCAUAUCGCUGUUUCAGGUUGAUGGAAAAACAAAUCCUAAAAUCCAGAGCAUCUAUUUGGAAAAGUUUCCAAUCUAUAAGGCUUGUUUUAGUGCUAAUGGAGAAGAGGUUUUAGCCACGAGUAUCCACAGCAAGGUUCUUUAUGUUUAUGAUAUGCUGGCUGGAAAGUUAAUUCCUGUGCAUCAAGUGAGAGGCUUGAAAGAGAAGAUAGUGAGGAGCUUUGAAGUCUCUCCAGAUGGGUCCUUCUUGCUGAUAAAUGGUGUUGCUGGAUAUCUUCAUUUGCUGUCAAUGAAGACUAAAGAACUGAUUGGCAGCAUGAAAAUUAAUGGAAGGGUUGCAGCAUCCACAUUCUCUUCAGAUAGUAAGAGAAUGUAUGCCUCUUCAGGCGAUGGGGAAGUUUAUGUUUGGGAUGUGAACUCUAGAAAGUGCCUUAACAGAUUCGUUGAUGAAGGCAGUUUAUAUGGAUUAAGCAUUGCCACAUCUAGGAAUGGACAGUAUGUGGCUUGUGGUUCUAAUUGUGGAGUGGUAAACAUAUACAAUCAAGAUUCUUGUCUCCAAGAAAUAAACCCAAAGCCGAUAAAAGCUAUAAUGAACUUGGUUACAGGCGUUACUUCUCUGACCUUCAAUCCUACUACAGAAAUCUUGGCAGUUGCUUCAGAAGAAAUGAAAGAAGCAGUCAGAUUGAACACUGCUCCAUUACGAGAGUUGUACAUCAUGUGUACUACAAUCAAAAUGAACUUUUUGUUCCAGCAAACAGGUGCACCUUCCUUCCUGUACGGUAUUUUCAAACUUCCCCGUCAUUAAAAAGAAGACAGUCUCUCUUGUUCAUACCAUGGAUUUUUCUCCCAGAAGUGGGUACUUUGCCUUGGGGAACGAAAAAGGCAAAGCCCUGAUAUAUAGAUCCAGUUGAGCCGGAAGAGAAGCCGUCUUGAUCUUCCCAGAAACUUUCUGAAUGUGUGAUAAUAUAUGGCUAAUGAUUUACUGA